rnacentral:rRNA from 1 species
CCUACGGGUGGCUGCAGUGGGGAAUAUUGGGCAAUGGGCGAAAGCCUGAUCCAGCCAUGCCGCGUGUGUGAAGAAGGCCUUCGGGUUGUAAAGCACUUUCAGUGGGGAAGAAAGCCUUGGGGCUAAUACCCUCGAGGAAGGACAUCACCCACAGAAGAAGCACCGGCUAACUCCGUGCCAGCAGCCGCGGUAAUACGGAGGGUGCGAGCGUUAAUCGGAAUUACUGGGCGUAAAGCGCGCGUAGGCGGUCUGAUAAGCCGGUUGUGAAAGCCCCGGGCUCAACCUGGGAACGGCAUCCGGAACUGUCAGGCUAGAGUGCAGGAGAGGAAGGUAGAAUUCCCGGUGUAGCGGUGAAAUGCGUAGAGAUCGGGAGGAAUACCAGUGGCGAAGGCGGCCUUCUGGACUGACACUGACGCUGAGGUGCGAAAGCGUGGGUAGCAAACAGGAUUAGAUACCCUGGUAGUC